GGUUGAUCCUGCCAGUUGUCAUAUGCUUGUUUCAAGGACUAAGCCAUGCAAAUGUCAGAGUACUUGUGCUUCGGCACAGGGGGGUCUGUGUACGGCUCAUUAAACGGUUUAUGGUCUACCCAACGAAGGAAGGACUUGUGCCUUUCCAACGGGAUAACUGCGCUAACCGUGCAGCUAAUACCUGGGAGAACUUUCCGCGAUCAUCAAACCAACUUGCUGGGAAACUGGCGGGUUGGGGUCUCGGAAGCUGUUGGCCGAAACAAAGACUGACGCCUUCGGGCAGGUUUAAUUG
rnacentral:rRNA from 1 species